CAAGUCAAAGAACUUCAAGGGAUUUUAUACGAUAUCUUAUCUCUAUCAUCUACUUUUAUUUCUUCUUCUUUCAAUUUCAUCUCUCGCAAUCAAAAUCGUCAAGCGAAUGCGAAAGAGAUCUUACUCAUGUGUGUUAACCCCUAAAUUAUUA
rnacentral:sRNA from 1 species